rnacentral:lncRNA from 1 species
ACGGGGCCACCUCCGAUCCCCCACCAACCUGCGAUAUCCAGGUGCGGCUUUUCUUGGCUCGUUUAUUUAAUAGUGUGUUCUCUGGAAUCAGAUCCCCUGAAGUUUAUUGUUUAACCGGUCCAAUCGGCUCUAGUUUAUGUAGCUUUACAAAAUCAGUUCACCAGGAUGGUAGAACUGAAACCGAAUGAUAAUUUAAUUUGGUAAAAAACAAAAUGGAUGCUUAUAGGGAGGAUUCAGAACGAAAACCAGAGUCUGCACAUCUGAAUGCCGAUGCUUGAUGUGCUGGUGGGAAGUAUUCAGAACACUGAUCAGACCUUGCCAAUGCCAAUGCUAAGCGCUGUUCCUCCUAGUUCAUUUCGUACAACAUGUGGCCUGCAUACACAAAGAAAAAAAAA